rnacentral:tRNA from 1 species
GCCCCCAUGGACUAACGGUUAGGUCACCACUCUUUCAAGGUGGCAGUCGGGGUUCGACUCCCCGUGGGGGUACCA